rnacentral:rRNA from 1 species
UAAUAUGUACAUGCCUACAAUGUUAAUGCAUCAGAUCCCAUUAGAAAUUUGUAGUUAAGCGCUCUUGGGGUAGAGUAGUACUAGGAUGGGUGACCUCAUGGGAAAUAUUAGUGUUUUAC